CCGCCGCCGACGGUCCCGCACCGCUUCCGGCAGCGCUACGGCGCCACCUGGCGGCGGAAUCGGGCGGGCGGAGCGGGGAUCACCGCGCUUCUGGUCUCCAGAGCCAAGGAAAGAGCAGCCAUCGGCACUCACGAGACUCUUAUUUUGCCUUGCCCGGAGUAACAGCGCCUGACCGUUUCCAGAAGUUUGUCCUCGUGUUUUCAUGGCCGUGCCGUGGGAGGACUGCACGCAGCUAUAAUUCUUCAGGAUUCUGUCACAGAGUCAUAGAAUCAUUGAGGUUGGAAAAGACCACGAAGAUCAACUACCCCAACCAUCAGUCCAUCAACCUCACCGUGCCCACUGACCACGUCCCUCAGUGCCACAUCCACGCUGUUCUUCAACACCUCCAGUGAUGGUGACUGCACCACCUCCCUGGACAGCCCGUGCCACUGCCGCGCCGCUCUUUCUGAUAAGAACUCAACUUGAUGUCAUUACCUCUCGCUUUAUCACUGUUACCUGGGAAAAGAGGCCAACCCCCACCUCACCGCAUCCUCCUUUCAGGUCACUGUAGAGAGUGAUGAGGUCUCCCCUGAGCUCCUCUUCUUCAUACUGAACAACCUCAGCUCCCUCAGCAGCUUCUCAUGAGACUUGUGCUCCAGACCCUUCACAGCUCCAUUGCCCUUCUCCUGACAGUUCAGGGCCUCAAUGUUUUAUUGGAAAGGUAAAAAAAUAUAUAUAUUCUCAGUUACCUUCAGAGCUUCACAGGUGACAGUGCUGUGCACCACAUCCUUGCUGCAUGUUAUAAAGGUUAUUAAAUUUACUGUGCCCUCCAUGGUAACUCACUCUGUUAGUGUCAGUAUGAAGAAGCUUCCAGCCAAGGUUUCAUCACCUGUUGUGCACUGCCAACAUUUUCUCCUCAUAAGUGUGGUCUUCCAUCAGUGUGCCAAAGUACCGCCCUGGAGGAAAAUAAUCUUUAGUGACUUGCUGGUACUUCCCUCACCUCUACCACAUGUUCAAGCAUAGAGCUAUUAAUGCUGGUAGGGAACACCUCCCUGACACUCACUGCUGUCACAUUAUGACAGUGGAAGUGAUGGUCUGAGUUUCUGGGUGAACAAACUGAGGUUUGCCUUGAGAAUUCAGCUAUGUGUGCAGGUUAUGAAAACAAAAACAUUCAUUCUUGUCAAUAAUAAAGACAUAGAUACAGAAAUUGACUAAAAUGUGCUUAAGAUAUCAAGCUGGGAGACAGAACAUCGAAGUCAAGUAGAAUAUAAUUCAAGAAAAACUGUAUGACUUCAAGGCCUGAAAUAAUAAUUAGUAGAGAGUGAGAGGUGGUGCAUUUACACAGAGUGCUACAUAUUCCCAUGUAACACUAAUGUGAUAAAACCAUUAAGAGCCAAGUAAUCUUCAUAGAAAUUCGUAAGGUAUCAGCCAAGGUAUUCCUGUAGAUAAAUGGAUGUAAAUUGUACAGGUCAUGUACAAAUGAUGAUGAAAUUGUGUCUGUCUUCAUAAAAUACUCAUGUUCAAGUAAUAUACAUCUAAACUGGAACAUAUGUACAAAAAGGAACAAUAAGACCCAGCCUUCUGAUGAGACACUAAAAGGGUUCCGUAUGUUCACAUUAUAUGAACGGAGAUCAGAAUGUAACUUAAACUGAAUUCUGUGGUGUCUCCACAUGAAAGAGAAAGAAAAACAUAGAAAGAAAAAGAAUAAAAGAGAAAAAUGAAUAAAAAAAGGAAAAGAAACCAGGAGAUGUGUACACAUUCAAAAAUCAGACAUUGGGUCAGGGACCUUACAACUUUUCAUCUGGCUUUAUUAGCAUGUCUCUAGCAGGGCAGAGCUUGGGACAAAUUCCUUUUCACAUUUUAUCUAAUUCAAUGCUUAGAUGGUUUUUCUUCCAGGUAACUAUCUUCUUAUUUUUGUCCAAGGAUGGGUUACAUAACUUUCUUAAUAUUCCCCAAUUGCUCUACAAGAAGAUUAACCUAUAUAUUCUGCUUGGAGCAAUAAAUUCCACUAGGUGUCAGGGUAACUAAAAAUUACAGGCUGCAAUUAUAAUUAAGCAUAUACUUAAGGGCCUUGCCAAAUCACUACCUGUGUAAACCCAUGGACUCUUAGAAUAAUCUAGAUAACUGUACUUGUAUUUGUACUAGCUUGAAGAUGCAUGUAGCAACACUUAAAGCAAAGUCACACCUUUCAUUGAAUAUGAAGUAAUCUGACUAAAAGUCAAAUAAUUAUAAAGCAUAUUUCAUCUGGUUUCUGAUUUUUCUGCAAGUUGCCUUCACCAUCUUCUAUAUCUUAAAUCUCAGCAUACUCUCUGAAGUCUAUAGUUAAGUCUUCUUUUCAAGAUAGGGGUAAGACCUAUUUUCAAAUGAAAGUACUUAUUGGUUCUUUUGAAUGAGACUGAAGAUCUUGUAAGCUUCGAGCUGUUGCUAUUCUUCCUCUCCUACCCUAGGAAAAUAGGGUACUGCUCACCCUUUUGUUCUCUUAGAAAAGCUGAAGCACUGUGGAGUGAUUUUUCCCCAAAUCUUUACAUUUUUAUUUACUGGAAAGGGAGAAGAGUAAGAGCUUAUCAUGUGAGGCAAUAACAUAAUUAUCUGUUUUGAGACAGGACCAAGAGCAAUCAACUUAAACGCUUAAGCAUCUCUGUUAGCCAAGAAUAAUAUUCACUGCACACUCCUCAAAUCUUGCUCUAAAGAAAAGAGAAUUAACAUCCUCAAAGGCUUUCAGUGUUCAUCGCUGUACAGUCUGUUCUGCAAGCUUGGAUAUAUCUUGGAGCGUCUUUGUGAAGUUGUGUUAUCAAGCACAAAGGCAGAGAUAAAACUCUGCAAGCUUUAUGCGUUCUACUUUAGGACUAAUUUUUCACAGUACAGGAGCUAAGCAGCAAUACUCUGAAGGCUCAGCAUUUUGCUCUUAGACGCUUCAUCUACAUUUGUGAAUGCUCAGAACCAAGUCAGUGUGCCAAGUCAGACAACAAAAAUAAAGUACAGAAUGGUGAUGACUUACCCAUGGAAAGUUUGUGUGAAGUGAUUUGGCCAACAUUGUGUAAGUUGUGCAUGAUAGGCUAAUUUAUAUUCGCCUAUUGUAAUUAGGCAUCCAUUCCUGGCCCACUCUCAACAGGUCUCUUGCAAAAGAAAUGUGGAAGAUCACUUCAGCUUUUAACUCAGUUGUAAUGCUCAGGAAGCCUUUAACUUCUGAGUUUCUGCAUUCUUAACAAUGUUUCACUGUAUGUACUUUGUACAAAUAUUUUAUUUCCUACAUAAAACUACAUUGUUAACAUACAGAAUAGCAGUCGACUACACGAAACAUAGAACAGACGUCAUUCCACCUGCAGCCCUCCUCUACAGCUCCUCACCAAAGCCUAUUAAGGUUUUUCUCUGCUGCAGUUGCAUGUUCAUUUACUAUGUUAACAUACUUAAGGACUUGCUCCUCUAGGAAGUCAUUUCUUUUCCGAUGCUCCUGGGAACCAACAGAGGAUGUUUUAGAGGGGUAGGGCCUUAACAGCAGUCAAAUCAUACUGGUGAAUUUGUCAGUACUUUGAAGAGCUGUAUUAUUACUUUCUCUGGAAAGGAGAUGAGAGACAACAGUAGGGUGUUCUAGGACUUCUAUGUCCUUCCCCCAAAAUACAUGUUAAUAUACUAAUAUACUAAAUCUAAUCAUCUAUGCUUCUGAAGCCCUCUUUAAAGCAGGAACCUCGGGCAUAUUGGGAUAAGUAGUUCAGUACAGCACAGUGAAUUUGUUAGCUUUACUAUCUAUCAAUACAGUGAUUAAAUCAUCAUCAGUCACUCAGGACAUCUUGAAUGGACUACCAUCUGCUCUCCAGAAUUUAGGCUUUUAUUAAAGCAAAAAUCACCUGUAAAGUUUUGGAUUCAUUCACAGUAAAACCCCUCAUAACAACUGAGAACUUGGUCAUUUAAACUGGAAGACGGAAGCUUUAGAUGUAUUAGAAAGAAAUUCUCUCCUGUGAGGGUGGUGAGACACUAGAACAGGUUGCCCAGGGAGGUUGUGGUUGCCCUCUCCCUUGAGGCAGUCAAGGCCAGGCUGGACGGGGCUUUGAGCAGCCUGGUCUAGAGGGAGGUGUCCCUGCCUAUAGCAGAGGGUUGGACCUACAUGAUCUUAAAAGUCCCUUCCAACCCAAACCAUUCUAUGAUUGUAUAACACAACAGAGUAAAAUAACAGUCACCAGUCUGUAUUCUCUUGUUCAGAAGAAUCCUGUUUUGUCUCACUGUUUACAGAGAUCAUAGAAUCAUAGAAUCAUGGAAUGGCCUGGGUUGAAAAGGACCACAAUGAUCAUGUAGUUUCAACCCCCUGCUAUGUGCAGGGUCGCCAACCACCAGACCAGGCUGCCCAGAGCCACAUCCAGCCUGGCCUUGAAUGCCUCCAGGGAUGGGGCAUCCACAGCCUCCUUGGGCAACCUGUUCCAGUGUGUCACCACCCUCUGAGUGAAAAACUUCCUCCUAGUAUCUAACCUAAACCUCCCCUCUCUCAGUUUAAGACCAUCCCCCCUUGUCCUAUCACUAUCCACCCUCAUAAACAGCCACUCCCCUUCCUGUUUAUAUGCUCUCUUCAAGUACUGGAAGGCCACAAUGAGGUCUCCCCAGAGCCUUCUCUUCUCCAAGCUAAACAAUCCCAGUUCCCUCAACCUUUCCUCAUAGGAGAGGUGCUCCAGCCCUUUGAUAUCUUAGUGGCCCUCCUCUGGACCCGCUCCAAGAGCUCUAUAUCCGUCCUGUACUCAGGGAGAUCUUUGUCUUUGAUAAGACUCUCUCCCACAGAGAUCACCCCCCCCCCAGAGGUCAGCAUCAGUUUCUGGAAGAUGAUUUUAGACCCUGAUGUUGUACAUUGUAGUGAAUUAUCUCUAAAUUAGUUUGUAGCUCCAUGAGUGUAUGCACUCUCAUUAACUGCACCCAGUGAGAUUUCAUUCAGUACUGAAAAAAAAAAAAGAAAGUUUAAAUUUGAAAAUCCUGCUGAGGAGUGACUGCAUUGCUCCCUACAGCUACCUGAAAAGACACUGCAGUGAGGAGGGUGUUGAUCUCUUUUCUCAGCUGGCAAGUAAUACUGAUGUUAUUGCACUUCUACGGAACAGGAGCAGUUCUCCUAUUUUUAUUUCAUAUUCUUUCUGAUCUCAUUAGAGAUGCUUGGAAAGGAAAGAGUCUUGUGUUGUGCCAGAAAAGUUUUAGACUGCACAUCAGGAAGAAUUUCUUCAUGGAGAAGGCAUUGGAGUAGGCUGCACUGGGAAAAAAAAAAAGAAAUGGAGUUGUCAUUCUUGGAGGUAUUUAAAAAACAUGCAGAUGUGGUACUGGGGGACAUGGUCUAGGGAUGGGACUCAGAAGGUCAGGUUGAUGAUUGGAAUUAAUUAUCUUGAAGGUCUUUUCCAACCUAGAUAAUUCUGUGAUUCUACAAUCUUUUCUCCAUUUUCUCCAAGAAUUGAGAAUCCACAUUUUCUCAUUUAAAGAAGAAAAAGCUUUGCUCUGCUCCUUGAAGGCACUGCCAUGCCCUAGUCUCAUCAGAGUUGCUAAGGAGCACAAAUCUUUGUAACUGAAGAGCCAUGGAGGACACUGGCAGAGGCCGAAUAAGGAUGAAGAACACUGUUACAACUGGGGAAAAAGAAAAAAAAAAUCUCAAAAGGGAUCAGCCAAAAUAUUUAGGUUUUGUAAAAUUACAUUUUGUUUGUUAGAUUUGUAUCAACUUGAAACAAACAGUUCAGUCAUAAAGAGGUUUCACAACGUUACCCUGAAGCAUUUGUAACUGAUCUCUGGGGCUAUUUUAAAGGUUGGUGUCAUGGAACUCAGAAGAAAGUUUAUGGAAGGGGCAAACACUAAGGCCAACUAUGUGCUGAGUAAGCUUGGUAUAAACAGGAAGAGAUAGUUGAAAAUCCCAGAUUUAGCAAUAUGCUGUGGUAGAGACAGACCAAUCAACAUCCUGAAACUGAUCAGAGAUCUCAGUUCUGGAAAAUCUAGUUUAAUGUAUGAAAAUAAGAUCUGCUUUUUGAGGGAAAAAAAAAAAAGAAAAGAAGAAGAAGAACAAUAUUUUUAAUAGACUUUUCUAGCACCAACCAAAUCCACUCAGUUUAGAAUCUGUUUUCUUUCAUUCCUUUGCAUCCUGGCUGAAAUUAAGGUGAUGAAUUUCAUGACUUCCUUUCCUCCUCAGCAAACAACUGUGUUCUAAGUCAUAGUCACUUACUAUGUCCUACUAAGAAACCUUCAAAAGCACUUCUCUCAGAUGGCAAAGCUGUGUAAAAAGCUACCAUUUUAUUUUGAAUUAUUGCCUUUCCCCUGAAAACAUGUUCUGUUUUUUGUUUGUUUGUUUGUUUUGUUUUCCCCCUAAAAAUGCAGUGUUAAAUUAAAAUGAUAGCUACAAAUUCACACACUACCGGCUUCAGGAUGUUGACUACUUCAUUCAGAGCACAAAACCACCGCAGAAUGACUCAUCUGCAGCUAAAUAAUCUCUCUCUCUUGUCACUGGUAGCCCACAGCAGUCUGCAGCUUGUGCUUUCCGGAAGCUAAGAUUUACCCCAUUAAUGCCUUUGUUUUGAAAUCCAUCACUUUUAAAGCUAUACAACAAAAAUAGGGAGUAAGUGAAUUAAAAACAUACCUUUUGAGAUCUAAUCUUCUCCAGAAAUUCUGGACUAAAGCUUACUCAAUCUCAGUCUUGUUGGGAGAUAUCAGUCCAAAUCUGACUACUCUCAGAUAGAAAACUAUACAGCUGUAACUCAAGAGUUACCUCUCCUACUUCUUAAUGGACUUUGCAAUAGUUUUGACAUGUCUGCUCUUUUUUGAGAGUGGAGAAGACUUUAUCUGUUUUGUGGUUAGACAUCUGGUUAGAUAUAGCAGUCUAGCUAACCAUAUAGGAAACCAAAACAAACUGAGCAAUAUAAAGUAUAUUUUCUCAUCUUCGGUAGUACCUGACAACUAUGUUGAAACAUACUGCUUGUCUGAAAUAUUAAUGCAAUAUCAUAAAUCCCUCACAGCAUAACUGAUUGCAGAUUGCUGUUUUUAUUGCCAUUCCUGAAUAUAUAUCACAUGUGAGAAUAGAUUAUACGUGCUUCUGUUACUGAGAAGGUUGCAGAACUUUGACAUGUGACUAAGAAUGAAGGGAAGAGGUACCACAAGCCAACCUGAACCCUUCAUAAAGCCUUCUGCAGAAGUCACAGGUAGUGUUUCCAAUUCCUCCUGUAAAUGUCCAAUUGUGGCAGAACCUAUGUCUGGCAACUUCUUUGCUUUUUCCAGCCAUUAACAUCUUUACCAUAGUGCUGCCCAGCUGCCACAUAACUACUGCACUUUCUUCACCCUAUUUAACCAUCUACUGGUU
ensembl:lncRNA